UUAAAGUGGAAUCCAAACUAACACCAGACUCUUAAAGUGGAAUCCAAAGCUAACACCAGUUUUGUGAUGUUUUCUUGUUUUCACAUUAUUCUAGAGAUUCGGUGAUGAAUUCUAGCCACUAAAUCAAAAUGUAGUUAAUUUACGUGUGGAUAAUCUGCUACAACUGUGGGUUUACAAUUGUUUACCACAUUAGACGAUUGACAAUAUGUAUUUCUAGAAUUUUUAUUGGAUUAAACAUUACUCGUUGAGUCGUGCCAAGAAUUCCACCUCCCCGCCAAAGGCGAAAAGCAAACAAGCUACUGUCCGUUUAAUAGACACAUCAGACUCGGAGUCGGGGUACAAGAAAGCUUUUUGCGUGGCCGGAAAAUGCAGACGCUAGUACUAGUUGGCUCAGCAAAUUUCACAUAUACCUGGUGCCCUCUAGCUCGACGUCAUUUCUUCACUCUUUCCGUUCGCCACCGCCCCAAACUCAAAUUCUCCACUUCUUCGGAUAAGGCAUGUAGGAGCUACAUUGACGAGGAAUGUGAUGAGGAUUUUUUGCCGUGGUUGGAGCAAAAAGCAUGUACAAAAAUAUCGUCCAUGCUUUCCAUUGGAAAAUCUGCACAUGGAAGGGCUCUAUAUGCUUCCAAGCCCAUACAAGCUGGGGACUGCAUAUUGAGAGUUCCUUACAGCGUGCAACUAGCACCAGAUAAUCUUCCUCCGGAAAUUUGUUCUUUGUUUGGAGAUGAAGUUAGCAGUGUCUCAAAAGUUGCUCUACUCCUGCUGCAUGAGCAGAAAAUGGGUCAGAAAUCUGAAUGGGCUCCAUAUAUCCGUCGGCUUCCUCAACCUUUUGAAAUGCAUAACACUAUAUUCUGGAGUGAUGAUGAACUGGAGAUGAUUAGACAAAGUGUUAUAUACCAGGAGACCAUCAAACAAAGGAAUCACAUUGAAAAGCAGUUUAUGGCAAUUAAACCAGCCACUGAUCAAUUCCCUCAAUGUUUUGAAGAUGUCUCUCUGAAGGACUUUGCUUAUGCUCAUGCUUUAGUUUUAUGGACUCGAACAUUUGGCGAUGACCUCUUUCUUGACAUUCCAGUUACAUCUCGAGCAUGGGAAAGCUCGAGGGGUGUCUCGAUGAUUCCAUUUGCAGAUUUUCUAAAUCAUGAUGGUACUUCAGAGGCAUGUCUUAUGAGUCAUGAAGGAAAACAGCUCUCAGAGGUCAUUGCUGAGCGUGAUUACAGCCCUGGUGAUCAGGUGCUAAUAAGUUAUGGAAAAUUUUCCAACAGUAGUCUAGUUUUGGACUUUGGCUUCACAGUUCCUUACAACAUUUACGACCAGGCUCAAGUUGAGCUCAAUAUACCUCAGCACUAUCAUCUUUUUCAGAUGAAGUUGGAACUUCUGCAGAGAUUCAAGGCACCAGCCAUUAAAGAUGUCAAUGAAUUUAGCUCUUCUGAGAAAUUAUUUACAAUCAAGGAAGUGAAGUUUGCUUCUAAGAAAGGGAGGGGAAUUCCACAAUCUUUUCGUGCAUUUGCUCGUGUACUAUGUUCAAAUGCUCAAGAAUUGAGUGAUUUGGAGUCAGGAGCUGCACAAAGCGAUGGUAGGCUGGCUCGAAGUCCUUUGAAAAACAAAAGCAGGGAGAUUGAAGCACAUGAGUUGAUACUCUCAAAAAUAACUGAACAAAUCAAUGAAUAUGAUGCAUGUAUCAAGGUGAUAAUAACUUCUGACCCAUGAGUUUCCCUUUAUGAUCCUAUCAUGAUUCUGUUUUAGGAUACUUUUUGAAAACUGAAAUCGAGGAAAAGGACUUGUACAACAUGGCUGGCCAAAAAUUCUGAGGUCAUUUUUGAGGCAUGUACUUCUGUCGUUUCACUUUUGCUUUCAUGUGUAAUCUGUGUGUUGGUUUGGUAAGUCCAUGUUAUAAUUUUUUACUGGUGGCUAUGUACAGUCUCUGGGACCAUCCACCUCUCAAAACUUGGUUAGAAAACAUGCUUUAAGGAGACAAAUGGCUCAUGAUCUUCUUACUGGUGAGCUUCGUGUUCUGAAGUCUGCUUCUGCAUGGCUGAAGAAGUAUUGUGCAACCUUAUUAGAAGGAUAGAGUGUAGGGUUCUCUUCUACAUAUGGUGAUCCAGUUUGAAGGUGGCCUCAUCUUGGAACUUAAGAGGGAGGUUCCUAUUUGUUUUCCAAUUCUCCAACCGCAAGCUAAGCUUGCUGAUGGUCAGAUGAAUGGAAGUCGGUUUAUCACGUGCCUCCUCGUCGACAAUCUAACAGAAAGCAGGAAGUUUUAGAGAUGCAUUACUCGAACAACAACAGUAUGAUUGUAGAGAAAGCAAGGGGUAAAAGUGCUGGAAACUCCUGUCGUGAAGUUCGUUGCUCAUUGUUGAGGGAACGGAAGUUAGUCGUGGAGUUGGGUAAUGAACAAGUAGUAGGUUGUUACAGGGUUAAUUACUUUUUAUCUUCCCUGAUCUGUGGGCAAACUAUGAAUCAAGAUUUAGCCAAAUUGUAUUCAGCUCCCUUGUCAGUAAACACCGGAUACAGGCCAUGGAUGGGUGAAGUGAAAUGAAAUGAAAAGCAAGAACUUUUAUU